rnacentral:rRNA from 1 species
AUUGAACGCUGGCGGCGUGCUUAACACAUGCAAGUCGAUCGGUAACGCGGGGGCAACCCUGGCGACGAGAGGCGGACGGGUGAGGAACGCUUGGGAAUCUGCCUAUCAGCGGGGGACGACCCGGGGAAACUCGGGCUAAUACCGCAUACGCUCUACGGAGGAAAGCCGGGGACCGCAAGGCCUGGCACUGAUAGAUGAGCCCAAGUCGGAUUAGCUAGUUGGCGGGGUAACGGCCCACCAAGGCGACGAUCCGUAGCUGGUCUGAGAGGACGAUCAGCCACACUGGGACUGAGACACGGCCCAGACUCCUACGGGAGGCAGCAGUGGGGAAUAUUGGACAAUGGGGGAAACCCUGAUCCAGCGACGCCGCGUGGGUGAAGAAGGCCUGCGGGUUGUAAAGCCCUUUCGGUAGGGACGAAAGCUCUCGACCUAACACGUCGGGAGGUUGACUUAACCUACAAAAGAAGCACCGGCUAACUCUGUGCCAGCCGCCGCAGUAAGAC